CCAGGAAGUUGGCUUAGAAGCAGCCAUCCUUCAAAGAAAGCGUAAUAGCUCACUGGUCGAGUCCUUCUGCGCGGAAGAUGUAACGGGGCUAAGCUGUUAACCGAAGCCGCGGAUGCGCUGGUUAUCCAGUGCGUGGUAGGGGAGCGUUCUGUAAGUCUGCGAAGGCGGUUCGAGAGGACUGCUGGAGAUAUCAGAAGUGCGAAUGCUGACAUGAGUAACGUUAAAGCAGGUGAAAAGCCUGCUCGCCGUAAGCCCAAGGAUUCCUGCUCUACGUUCAUCGGAGCAGGGUGAGUCGGCUCCUAAGGUCAGGCCGAAAGGCGUAGCCGAUGGGAAUCAGGUUAAUAUUCCUGAACCUGCGUCAGAUGCGAUGGGGGGACGGAGCAUGGAAGAUCAUCCGGGUGUUGGAAGUCCCGGUUGUUUAGCGUAGGAGGUCUGCAGGCAAAUCCGCAGACGCAUCUCCAAGGCAAAGACACGUGCCGCCACGGCGGCGAAGUGAUCGGAAGUGCUUCCAAGAAAAGCCUCUAAGCCCCAGUCUGACGCGGACCGUACCGCAAACCGACACUGGUGGGCGAGCCGAAUAUGCUCAGGCGCUUGAGAGAACUCGGGAGAAGGAACUCGGCAAAUUGACACCGUAACUUCGGAAGAAGGUGUGCCGUAGUACCGUGAGAGGAGAGACACCUUGAGCGGGAAACGGUCUCAGAGAAUAGGUGGCUGCGACUGUUUAUUAAAAACACAGCACUCUGCAAAGUCGAAAGACGACGUAUAGGGUGUGAUGCCUGCCCGGUGCUGGAAGAUUAAUUGAUGGGGUGAGAGCCCUUGAUCGAAGUCCCAGUAAACGGCGGCCGUAACUAUAACGGUCCUAAGGUAGCGAAAUUCCUUGUCGGGUAAGUUCCGACCUGCACGAAUGGCAUAACGAUGGCCACACUGUCUCCUCCCGAGACUCAGUGAAGUUGAAAUGUUUGUGAUGAUGCAAUCUACCCGCGGCUAGACGGAAAGACCCCAUGAACCUUUACUGCAGCUUUGCAUUGAACUGUGAACCGAUUUGUGUAGGAUAGGUGGGAGGCAGAGAAGAGGCCACGCCAGUGGCCUUGGAGCCGACCUUGAAAUACCACCCUGAUUUGUUUGCGGUUCUAACCACGGACAGUGAUCCUGUCUUGGGACCGUGCAUGGUAGGCAGUUUGACUGGGGCGGUCUCCUCCUAAAGGGUAACGGAGGAGUACGAAGGUACGCUAGGUACGGUCGGAAAUCGUGCUGAUAGUGCAAUGGCAAAAGCGUGCUUGACUGCGAGAGCAACAACUCGAGCAGAUGCGAAAGCAGGUCAUAGUGAUCCGGUGGCUCUGAAUGGAAGGGCCAUCGCUCAACGGAUAAAAGGUACUCUGGGGAUAACAGGCUGAUACCGCCCAAGAGUUCAUAUCGACGGCGGUGUUUGGCACCUCGAUGUCGGCUCAUCUCAUCCUGGGGCUGUAGUCGGUCCCAAGGGUAUGGCUGUUCGCCAUUUAAAGAGGUACGUGAGCUGGGUUUAAAACGUCGUGAGACAGUUUGGUCCCUAUCUGCCGUGGGCGUUGGAAGAUUGACGGGGGCUGCUCCUAGUACGAGAGGACCGGAGUGGACUGACCUCUGGUGUACCGGUUGUCACGCCAGUGGCAUCGCCGGGUAGCUAUGUCGGGAAGAGAUAACCGCUGAAAGCAUCUAAGCGGGAAACUUGCCUGAAGAUAAGUCUUCCUGGAGGCUUGACCUCCCUGAAGAGUCGUUCGAGACCAGGACGUUGAUAGGUUGGGUGUGUAAGCGCUGUGAGGCGUUGAGCUAACCAAUACUAAUUGCUCGUGCAGCUUGAUCC
rnacentral:rRNA from 1 species